GGUCCCGUCGUCUAGCGGUUAGGACAUCCCCCUCUCACGGGGAAGAUCAGGGGUUCGAAUCCCCUCGGGACUACCA
rnacentral:tRNA from 1 species